GAUGAACGCUGGCGGCGUGCCUAAUACAUGCAAGUAGAACGCUGAAGGAAGGAGCUUGCUCUUUCCGGAUGAGUUGCGAACGGGUGAGUAACGCGUAGGUAACCUGCCUGGUAGCGGGGGAUAACUAUUGGAAACGAUAGCUAAUACCGCAUAACAGUAGAUGUUGCAUGAUAUCUACUUAAAAGGUGCAAUUGCACCACUACCAGAUGGACCUGCGUUGUAUUAGCUAGUUGGUGAGGUAACGGCUCACCAAGGCGACGAUACAUAGCCGACCUGAGAGGGUGAUCGGCCACACUGGGACUGAGACACGGCCCAGACUCCUACGGGAGGCAGCAGUAGGGAAUCUUCGGCAAGGGACGGAAGUCUGACCGAGCAACGCCGCGGGAGUGAAGAAGGUUUUCGGAUCGUAAAGCUCUGUUGUAAGAGAAGAACGAGUGUGAGAGUGGAAAGUUCACACUGUGACGGUAUCUUACCAGAAAGGGACGGCUAACUACGUG
rnacentral:rRNA from 1 species